UGAAUUAUUAUACAUAAAUUAAUAUGUAUGAGACGAAAAUAUAUAUGAAGAAUAUAUGAUACAUGAGGGAAUAAUUUAUUUACAGAAUAAAUAGAAACUAUUUUAUAAAAAAUGGAAAACUUUUAUAAAAAAUGGAAAAAUAAAAAAACAGGAAAUCACUCUAAAAAUAGGAAGAAUAUAAUAUACAAAAUAGUAUAAAAUAAUAUAUAGAAAUAAUAAAAUCAUAUAACAAAUCAUUAAAAAAUGCAUAAAUUUAUAGGAAACGAACCGACGUUUCUGGAAAGACACCGGCACAUUUCGAAAGAUGAUAAUUACGCUUUUACGGUACACGGCCAAAUCUACAUUGUGUCUACGAGGCGAGUCCUCUCGCGGCAAGACAUAGGAAAUCGCGCAAUACUUUUAGGCUCCCCGGUACACAUUGCGAAAAAGUGAAAUGUGUUGUACCAUUGCGUUUCCAUUGUUGUGUUAUGGAAGAGACGUAAAACAGGGCAAGGUUGAAUCUCUGAUUACUUGAAAGACUUCUACAUUGUACAAACCAGCCCCGAAUUUUCUAAAAUCUAAAUAUCCUAAUCUCUUUACGUAUCUUUAUAUUUUAAACUCAGAAAAAAAAUUUUUGAAGUCGAUUUUUUACAAAUUUCAACUGAGAAUUAUAUUAAAAUAUUUAAUAAUAAAACAUUGGAUAAAACUGA